GCGUCCGUAGCUCAGUUGGUUAGAGCACCACCUUGACAUGGUGGGGUUCGGUGGUUCGAGGCCACUCGGCCGCACCA
rnacentral:tRNA from 1 species